rnacentral:rRNA from 1 species
AUUGAACGCUGGCGGCAUGCCUUACACAUGCAAGUCGAACGGCAGCACGGGUGCUUGCACCUGGUGGCGAGUGGCGAACGGGUGAGUAAUACAUCGGAACGUACCUUAUCGUGGGGGAUAACGCAGCGAAAGCUGUGCUAAUACCGCAUACGCCCUGAGGGGGAAAGCGGGGGAUCGAAAGACCUCGCGCGAUUAGAGCGGCCGAUGCCUGAUUAGCUUGUUGGUGGGGUAAAAGCCCACCAAGGCGACGAUCAGUAGCUGGUCUGAGAGGAGGAUCAGCCACGCUGGGACUGGGAAACGGCCCAGACUCCUACGGGAGGCAGCAGUGGGGAAUUUUGGACAAUGGGGGCAACCCUGAUCCAGCAAUGCCGCGUGGGUGAAGAAGGCCUUCGGGUUGUAAAGCUCUUUUGUCAGGGAAGAAACACCGGCUCUAACACAGUCCGGGAAUGACGGUACCUGAAGAAUAAGCACCUGCUAACCACGUGCCAGCCGCCGCCGUAA